AAGUCCUGCAUUCUCUCUCAGGGAGUCCAGAACUCUGCUGCUCACCAAGCUGGAAGGAAGAAGUGGAACCUGGAACAGAAUUCUUCCUUAUGAGAGCUGAGAAGGGCAGCCCCUCCUGACUGAGAACUCAGGCUGUGACUCUGGCUCCCACUCCCAGAGCUUCUGAGAAGAUGGCUUGAUAGCCUGUUUGGAGUUCCUCUGCUAUCCGACCAGCAGUUCAGUCCUGUAGCAAACGCCAAAUCCGAUUCAGCAGCUGCAGUUGGAUCUUGAAGAAUCCGUAAGGCUCACCAACCUGCCCGAGGCCGCUGAAGCAGCGGAACCUCACGAACUGUUCUUUGGCAACCGUGUGCUGGCCCCUCUGCAUGAUAAAACUGAGGAGCAAGGGAAGAUUCGGAGCUGAACUCCACUGCGGUGUUCAGAAGUCUGUACAUGCCGCCUCCCUGGAAAGCACCCAGCACUCCCUGCUGUUCCCAGAUCCUGUUGUCUCCUUAUCAAUCCCUGAGGCCAGCAGAACAAACCGAGGUAUGGUAUUAUAAAUACGGGCUUGAGGUUACUGAGGGUCACAGAGUCCACAGCAAAGGGGAAUCUGAAACCACAAUGUUCUGCUCCACUCUCACACUUCAAAUGCUCAUGACUACAUAAGCACGGCGAGAGUACAAGGAUCGUCCCUACAGAGAUCCUCCCCCAUCAGCUCAUCUGUCUGACCCUCUGUGCCCCUGGACCUUAUCAGCUGCGAGUGUGGAAGAUUCUAGAGAAGGCACCAUUCCUCAGUGGUGUUUCCACAGUUCAAUAAACAACUUAUUCUUCCACUAUUGCCAUGACCAUCUCCACCUCUUAACUCCAUGCUUACUUUCUCCCUUAAGGAAACAAAUAGGCAAGUAAAAGACAAACAAGGAAGGAUAAGAAGCAGAGACACUAAGAAGGAGCAUGAGACAUGCACGCACUUCCUUGUCUGGGCGCUGGGACUCUGGCUCGAACCUGUACAGUUUCUCCAGGACUUUUAUCAUGAAGAGAUGCUGGAUUUUAUCAAAGACACAAAGGGGAAUGGUCCAGAUUCACAAGCUUGUCAAAACCAGCAGAGGCAUAGGGUCAUAGAACUCAUGUCCACUACGUAGUCUGCUUCUCACCCACUGCCCUUUGGAAAGCCCAUUCCCUCCUCCUGUUCUCGUGCUGCUGGUACUCUAUGUACUGCCUGCCUUCCAAGAGUUCACAGAGUUUGGUAGUGUUUACCCAGUGUUGUCUCAACUGCUGAGAAAUGGCGUCAUCUGCACCAGGGACCGAAACACCACCUUUGUAGUACUUUUCUUCUCAGCUCUGAGUUUUGUGAUCUUCACAAAAAAAGUGGAGAUCAAACUUCCUUCCUGGUCCUCAUUUGCCUUUCAACAAGAAGCCUUCACUCAUUUAUUGAUCCACUUACUUUGUACAGACAGUUGUUCAUCAGAGCAUGUUAGGAACCAGGCCCAAGACCCCGACAGACACUAGAAUUUGAGGGAUCUCAAGUUUCUUAUACAAAAUGACACAGUAUUUGCAUAUAAUCUAUGCAUAUCCCCUUGGGCACCUUAAUUUUUUAUUUUUUGGCUUUUUGAAUACAGACUUGCAAUGUAGCUCAGGCUGGCCUUGAACUUUUCAUCCUCUGGGUCAGCUUCCUAAGUACUGGUGUGAAUUACCAGUGUGAAUCAUUAUACCUAACUUUCCUCCUGUGUAAUAAAAUUUACAUUAUUUAUCAUACCUAAUACCAUGUAAAUGGUAGAUAAACAAUCUUGGUGAUAUAUUGAUUAGGGGCUAAUGACAAGAAAAAAAAGUUUGAACUUGUUAAAUAAAGAUGCAGUUAAAC
ensembl:processed_transcript E230016K23Rik RIKEN cDNA E230016K23 gene